rnacentral:pre_miRNA from 1 species
UUGUUUGCUGCUGUGGCAUCAUCAAGAUUCACAUCUCUGUUUGAUGAACGGUGGUGAUUCACUCUCCUCUCUGUGAAAAUGAGAAUCUUGAUGAUGCUGCAUCGGCCAUCAA